rnacentral:rRNA from 1 species
ACAUCCAGAGAAUUUAGCAGAGAUGCUUUAGUGCCUUCGGGAACUCUGAGACAGGUGCUGCAUGGCUGUCGUCAGCUCGUGUUGUGAAAUGUUGGGUUAAGUCCCGNAACGAGCGCAACCCUUAUCCUUUGUUGCCAGCACGUAAUGGUGGGAACUCAAAGGAGACUGCCGGUGAUAAACCGGAGGAAGGUGGGGAUGACGUCAAGUCAUCAUGGCCCUUACGAGUAGGGCUACACACGUGCUACAAUGGCGCAUACAAAGAGAAGCGACCUCGCGAGAGCAAGCGGACCUCAUAAAGUGCGUCGUAGUCCGGAUUGGAGUCUGCAACUCGACUCCAUGAAGUCGGAAUCGCUAGUAAUCGUAAAUCAGAAUGUUACGGUGAAUACGUUCCCGGGCCUUGUACACACCGCCCGUCACACCAUGGGAGUGGGUUGCAAAAGAAGUAGAUAGCUUAACCCUCGGGAGGGCGUUUACCACUUUGUGAUUCAUGACUGGGGUGAAGUCGUAACAAGGUAAGCGUAGUGCU